UCACAUUGUCUCUCACAAAAUUGCCAAAACCUGCAGAAAGAUCCAGAAAUUUCCCUAUAACUCCAAAUCCAGUAAUGGGUAUGUGAAAGAUCCCAACUAUUAGAAAAUUCUAUGCUUAUAUUUAAUCCCAAAAGUUUUAGAGAGAGAAUGCUUAGAACAAAGUAAGUUUUCCGGCAAGGGUAGUGGUAGUGUGUCACAGUUUCACAGUCAGUGAGAGAGAAAG
rnacentral:lncRNA from 1 species